rnacentral:lncRNA from 10 species
UCUCAUUCUAAUUGACUCACAAAGAAUAAAAUCGUAACAGCCAGUUUAAGGAGGCCACACAAACAUUUGCCCAGCCCCAAAUUCUACACCAUCUUAAUGAAAUUCUACACAGUUAGAACACCCUCUUCCAUUUCAAUUCUGAAGCAAGGAAGCUAUAGAUGACAUACGAGAGGUUUAACUGGCCUAUCUGUUUGCAAGUCUGCACUGUUUGAGAACCUCUUGAAAGCCCCACAGAGCUUGUUGGUGUCACCCUGGUUCUGGGCACACUCCAAAAACUGUUUGAUCUCAUGGAAACAAGGCUGCUGCUGCUGUGCUGGCCAGGUUCCCUGAUGCUGCUGGAUGAGAAGCAAUUGGAAGGCUUGAGCCAGAGAAGUGGCAUGAUCUGCUUUAUCAUUUAGCAGGAUGACUCUGGCAUCCACAUUGAUAAAUGACUGAAGAGAGCAAAGGUGAGGAACCAGGAGGUGGACAUGGUGGUUCAUUCUCAUAAUCCCAGCACUUUGGGAGGCUGAGGCAAGUGGAUCACUUGAGCUUAGGAGUUCGAGACCAGUCUGGGCAACAUGGUGAAAACCCACCUCCACAAAUAAUACAAAAAUUAGCUGGGCAUGGUGGCACAAGCCUGUAGUCCCAGCUACUUGGGAGGCUGAGGUGGGAUGAUCACCUGAGCCCAGGGAGG